GGGGACGAAACGGUUUCGACGGGGGUAGAGUAAGUCGGAAAGCGAGCCGUGGAAGACUGUUACCACGUUAAAUAAUCGGUCAAAAAAGAGAGUUGCCGAAGAAAAUUACGCUUUAGCUGCUUAAUUUAAUUAGCAGCCGUCCUAUUAACCGUUCUGGGUCAAAUGGUUAAAUAGGACGUCAUAAUUAUGACCCUUACCUAAAAACCUUUCUCCCGGGUUUUUGGGGAAAUCUCAGGGAGAUAGCCUUUUUUUAUCCUGCCUGUGGGAGAAGAAAAGGCAAAAUUUAAAACACAGGCUGCGCUCGGAGAUGUCCGGCUUACUUUACUUUCGGACGCGGGUUCGACUCCCGCCGUCUCCACCA
rnacentral:tmRNA from 1 species